GUACCUUGACGGUACCUAACGAGAAAGCCACGGCUAACUACGUGCCAGCAGCCGCGGUAAUACGUAGGUGGCAAGCGUUGUCCGGAAUUAUUGGGCGUAAAGCGCGCGCAGGCGGUCUCUUAAGUCUGAUGUGAAAGCCCCCGGCUCAACCGGGGAGGGUCAUUGGAAACUGGGAGACUUGAGUGCAGAAGAGGAGAGUGGUUUACCUAACACUACAGGAUGGGCCCGCGUCGCAUUAGCUAGUUGGUAAGGUAACGGCUUACCAAGGCGACGAUGCGUAGCCGACCUGAGAGGGUGAUCGGCCACACUGGGACUGAGACACGGCCCAGACUCCUACGGGAGGCAGCAGUAGGGAAUCUUCCGCAAUGGACGAAAGUCUGACGGAGCAACGCCGCGUGAGCGAUGAAGGCCUUCGGGUCGUAAAGCUCUGUUGUUAGGGAAGAACAAGUACCGUUCNAAUAGGGCGGUACCUUGACGGUACCUAACGAGAAAGCCACGGCUAACUACGUGCCAGCAGCCGCGGUAAUACGUAGGUGGCAAGCGUUGUCCGGAAUUAUUGGGCGUAAAGCGCGCGCAGGCGGUCUCUUAAGUCUGAUGUGAAAGCCCCCGGCUCAACCGGGGAGGGUCAUUGGAAACUGGGAGACUUGAGUGCAGAAGAGGAGAGUGGAAUUCCAUGUGUAGCGGUGAAAUGCGUAGAUAUAUGGAGGAACACCAGUGGCGAAGGCGACUCUCUGGUCUGUAACUGACGCUGAGGCGCGAAAGCGUGGGGAGCAAACAGGAUUAGAUACCCUGGUAGUCCACGCCGUAAACGAUGAGUGCUAGGUGUUAGGGGUUUCGAUGCCCUUAGUGCCGAAGUUAACACAUUAAGCACUCCGCCUGGGGAGUACGACCGCAAGGUUGAAACUCAAAGGAAUUGACGGGGGCCCGCACAAGCAGUGGAGCAUGUGGUUUAAUUCGAAGCAACGCGAAGAACCUUACCAGGUCUUGACAUCCUUAUGACCUCCCUAGAGAUAGGGAUUUCCCUUCGGGGACAUAAGUGACAGGUGGUGCAUGGUUGUCGUCAGCUCGUGUCGUGAGAUGUUGGGUUAAGUCCCGCAACGAGCGCAACCCUUGAUCUUAGUUGCCAGCAUUUAGUUGGGCACUCUAAGGUGACUGCCGGUGACAAACCGGAGGAAGGUGGGGAUGACGUCAAAUCAUCAUGCCCCUUAUGACCUGGGCUACACACGUGCUACAAUGGAUGGUACAAAGGGCUGCGAAACCGCGAGGUUGAGCCAAUCCCAUAAAGCCAUUCUCAGUUCGGAUUGUAGGCUGCAACUCGCCUACAUGAAGCCGCGAGAUAGGGAUUUCCCUUCGGGGACAUAAGUGACAGGUGGUGCAUGGUUGUCGUCAGCUCGUGUCGUGAGAUGUUGGGUUAAGUCCCGCAACGAGCGCAACCCUUGAUCUUAGUUGCCAGCAUUUAGUUGGGCACUCUAAGGUGACUGCCGGUGACAAACCGGAGGAAGGUGGGGAUG
rnacentral:rRNA from 1 species